rnacentral:rRNA from 1 species
GGGGAAAUAUUGGACAAUGGGGGCAACCCUGAUCCAGCCAUGCCGCGUGUGUGAAGAAGGUCUUCGGAUUGUAAAGCACUUUAAGUUGGGAGGAAGGGUAUUCACCUAAUACGUGAGUAUUUUGACGUUACCGACAGAAUAAGCACCGGCUAACUUCGUGCCAGCAGCCGCGGUAAUACGAAGGGUGCAAGCGUUAAUCGGAAUUACUGGGCGUAAAGCGCGCGUAGGUGGUUCGUUAAGUUGGAUGUGAAAGCCCCGGGCUCAACCUGGGAACUGCAUCCAAAACUGGCGAGCUAGAGUACGGUAGAGGGUGGUGGAAUUUCCUGUGUAGCGGUGAAAUGCGUAGAUAUAGGAAGGAACACCAGUGGCGAAGGCGACCACCUGGACUGAUACUGACACUGAGGUGCGAAAGCGUGGGGAGCAA